rnacentral:rRNA from 1 species
UACGUAGGGCGCAAGCGUUAUCCGGAAUUAUUGGGCGUAAAGAGCUCGUAGGCGGUUUGUCGCGUCUGCCGUGAAAGCCCGGGGCUCAACUCCGGAUCUGCGGUGGGUACGGGCAGACUAGAGUGAUGUAGGGGAGACUGGAAUUCCUGGUGUAGCGGUGAAAUGCGCAGAUAUCAGGAGGAACACCGAUGGCGAAGGCAGGUCUCUGGGCAUUAACUGACGCUGAGGAGCGAAAGCAUGGGGAGCGAACAGG